UAUCGAUCUCACUCAACCAC
rnacentral:snRNA from 1 species